rnacentral:rRNA from 1 species
AGUGAACGCUGGCGGUAGGCCUAACACAUGCAAGUCGAACGGCAGCACAGUAAGAGCUUGCUCUUACGGGUGGCGAGUGGCGGACGGGUGAGGAAUACAUCGGAAUCUACUUUUUCGUGGGGGAUAACGUAGGGAAACUUACGCUAAUACCGCAUACGACCUACGGCUGAAAGCAGGGGAUCUUCGGACCUUGCGCGAUUGAAUGAGCCGAUGUCGUAUUAGCUAGUGGGCGGGGUAAAGGCCCACCAAGGCGACGAUCCGUAGCUGGUCUGAGAGGAUGAUCAGCCACACUGGAACUGAGACACGGUCCAGACUCCUACGGGAGGCAGCAGUGGGGAAUAUUGGACAAUGGGCGCAAGCCUGAUCCAGCCAUACCGCGUGGGUGAAGAAGGCCUUCGGGUUGUAAAGCCCUUUUGUUGGGAAAGAAAAGCAGCAGGUUAAUACCCCGCUGUUCUGACGGUACCCAAAGAAUAAGCACCGGCUAACUUCGUG